GACGAACGCUGGCGGCGUGCCUAAUACAUGCAAGUCGAGCGGAGUUAGAGAAGCUUGCUUCUUCUGAUUUUAGCGGCGGGCGGGUGAGUAACACGUGGGCAACCUACCUUGUAGAUUGGGAUAACUCCGGGAAACCGGGGCUAAUACCGAAUAAUCCAUUUUGCUUCAUGGCGAGAUGUUAAAAGGCGGCUUCGGCUGUCACUACGAGAUGGGCCCGCGGCGCAUUAGCUAGUUGGUAGGGUAAUGGCCUACCAAGGCGACGAUGCGUAGCCGACCUGAGAGGGUGAUCGGCCACACUGGGACUGAGACACGGCCCAGACUCCUACGGGAGGCAGCAGUAGGGAAUCUUCCACAAUGGACGAAAGUCUGAUGGAGCAACGCCGCGUGAGUGAAGAAGGUUUUCGGAUCGUAAAACUCUGUUGUAAGGGAAGAACACGUACGAGAGUAACUGCUCGUACCUUGACGGUACCUUAUUAGAAAGCCACGGCUAACUACGUG
rnacentral:rRNA from 1 species